AUGAGGGUUUUUGUAAAAGAAACUUUCUAUGGAAAAUUCUUCGGAUCAAGUUCACUCCAAAAAUACCCUUUUUUUCCCACUCCCGCCUCCAAAUCUACAGAAGAUUUCGUUCAUGAUGAAAGCUUCAAAAAUUCUCUCUCAUUUUUUUAUCUCCCGCUCAGAAGAUUUUCUUUCCUGAAGAUUAGUUCUCAAUAAUAGAAACUUAUCACUCUCACAAAAUUCAACAAACUGAGACUCUUUUUUCAUCUCCCGCUCAUAAUUUUCACCAAAAUUGAAUUCCAAAAUCCUGAAGUUUUCUUAUAAAAGAGGCCUUCAACACAAUGAUUUUCAUUAUCUUUGAAAAAGAAAUUCUUUUGUUAAGAUGGAAACAACUGCAAUCUCUAAUGGUGCACCCACAACAGUUCCUACAUCUCAAACUGCUGAAAUUACAACAAAUGUUCCCACUGCUCCAAAUAUGAGGGUAUAAAUGGAUGAAAGUGGCAUACUUAAAGGUCCCAAUUCACAAUAAUUUGCUACUCUUACUGGAGAACUUGUCCGGGAACAUUGUCCGAUGUCAUUCCUAGAUUGGAGGAUAGUUCCAAGGAUCUUGAAAGAGAAUGUCUGGAAUAAGUUGAUGCAAAAGUAUGAGUUUAACGUUCCAAGUCAUUUGGCCAAGAAGUUUGCGAUGAAAACUUUCCCCCAGAAGUUGAGGUCCUUCAAGUAUGAGUUACUAAGAGGUCCUCUCAAGGGAAAAGUCACCAUGGCUGAAAAAAUAGAUGCAUGCCCUAUGCAUUACAUCCUUGAUCAUUGGAAAACUUUUUUGCUACACGAGAGUGACCCUGCUGUUAAGAAAAAGCAUACCAAGUGUGGAUCAAAUCUUAAGAAUAAGAGCAUUAAGCACACUCUUGGACGAAUAUCAUAUGCAAACAAAUGUUAUAAUCUUGGAAGUACCUGCUAUCACAUUUUUCACCCUUUCAAAUCAUCACAUGUUAUACUUGUGUAAGACUAACAUGUACAUACUGCAUAUGCAGGCUCAAAAAGAAGGUGGGAUUGAUAAUGUUAGGCGGGACGUCUCGUGGAUGGAGGGUCAUGUAGGAAAAGAUGGAAAAGUACACCCUCCAUCUUUCGAGGCAUAUGGUCUCAAGAGGAGUCUCUGGGAGCUUCAGUUUUUCUAUCAGGAGAAUUCCUUCAAGGAAAUCUCUCAUGUACUUUGGGAUGCUCUUGGCUGCUGGAGUUUUCUUUGUUAUUAUUUCCUUCACGAUGUUCCUUCCAGUAAUGGUGUUGAUGCCUCAAAAAUUUGCUAUCUGUUUUACCCUUGGUUGUAUUUUCAUCAUAGGAUCAUUUUUCGCACUUAAAGGUCCAAAGAAUCAGCUUGCGCACAUGUCAUCGAAAAAGGUAUCCUAUCUAACUAAGAUUAUCCCACUAAUGUUUUAACUUGAUUUCACGUUACUGGAACUUGUAUUUCUGUCUUUCUUUAGUAUUCUUAUGCAGAGACUUCCUUUUACCUUGGGAUUCAUUGGAACUAUAGUUGGUACCGGUGGACCUUCACCAUACUCCAGUGGAUAUAUGAUGGGACAAGGUGGGAUGUCCAUUGGAAUUUCAGGUGGGAUGUACCCAAUGCCCCCUAUAAUGGAUAGAUAUGGUUUGGUUUGCCAAUGGGUCAUACUGCUAUGUGUUGUGUAGGUCUCAAGGCCAGGGCUAUUUCAAGAGGAAAAUCCACCAAGAAAUUCAGCCGUUUUCCGAAACUGUGUAGACUCGACUCGCGACAGUGGUUGGACCUAUCCAAAUUGAAGAAAUAUUAAUUUCUCUUUACGAACAAUUUGCAACAUGAGAAAGUGCAGUACCCCUAAACCGGGAUCACAGUCAGACAAAAAUUCCAAGCAAAAAAUACCAGAAGAGAGUUGAAAAUGUGGGAAAUUUGACAACCUAAACUAUCCAUUUAGAGCCAAGUGCAAUAGACAGAACUGUGGGGCUGAGAAGCCUUCUGAUUCCAACAACUCCCUUGUGGCACAUGCAUCGGAGGAGGAUGAUCAGGAUAGUUUAUCUCCCACUUGCAGAAAUAGAUUUAGAUGUUUUUAAUUAAAAAUGAAGACUAGUAAAUACAAGACAAGAAGGAUCUACCAACGAAAGCAAUUGCAAGAAUCAUGCUGGCAAAAAGACAAGCAAUCAGAAGAUUUUAGAACGGAGUACAACAAUGAUAUCGAUUAGUACUAAAAUUUUGGCCUUGUUGUGAGUUGAAUCAUAAAAUUAUUUGGUUAUUAUGGAUCACGAUGACCUGAAACUGCGCCAUAUCUGCAGCUGCAGGCAACCUGAAAUCCUUAUUUUUUAAUUUGUCGGUACUGUAAUUUGUAACAAUCAUUGUGCGUGAGUAAAUUUCAACACUAGACGAAGACAUUUGUCAUUUCCUUA